rnacentral:rRNA from 1 species
ACACGGGGGGCGCAAGCGUUAUUCGGAAUUAUUGGGCGUAAAGGGCGUGUAGGCGGUUUUAUCGGUCAGAUGUGAAAGCCCAGGGCUCAACCCUGGACGUGCAUUUGAAACAGUAAGACUUGAGUACGGUAGAGGAAAGCGGAAUUCCUGGUGUAGAGGUGAAAUUCGUAGAUAUCAGGAGGAACACCGAUGGCGAAGGCAGCUUUCUGGACCGAAACUGACGCUGAUGCGCGAAGGCGUGGGUAGCGAACAGGAUUAGAAACCCGGGUAGUCC